AGCUUGCUCUCGGGUGACAAGCGGCGGACGGGUGAGUAAUGUCUGGGAAACUGCCUGAUGGAGGGGGAUAACUACUGGAAACGGUAGCUAAUACCGCAUAAUGUCGCAAGACCAAAGUGGGGGACCUUCGGGCCUCAUGCCAUCAGAUGUGCCCAGAUGGGAUUAGCUAGUAGGUGGGGUAAUGGCUCACCUAGGCGACGAUCCCUAGCUGGUCUGAAAGGAUGACCACCCACACUGGAACUGARACACGGACCARACUCSUACGGGAGGCAGCAGUAAGGAAUAUUGGUCAAUGGAGGCAACUCUGAACCAGCCAUGCCGCGUGCAGGAAGACGGCCCUACGGGUUGUAAACUGCUUUUGUACCGGAAUAAACCUUGAUACGUGUAUCAAGCUGAAUGUACGGUAAGAAUAAGGAUCGGCUAACUCCGUGCCAGCAGCCGCGGUAAUACGGAGGAUCCAAGCGUUAUCCGAAUUUAUUGGGUUUAAAGGGUGCGUAGGUGGUUCUUUAAGUCAGGGGUGAAAGACGGCAGCUUAACUGUCGCAGUGCCUUUGAUACUGAAGAACUUGAAUCCACUAGAGGUAGGCGGAAUGUGACAAGUAGCGGUGAAAUGCAUAGAUAUGUCACAGAACACCAAUUGCGAAGGCAGCUUACUAUGGUGGUAUUGACACUGAGGCACGAAAGCGUGGGGAUCAAACAGGAUUAGAUACCCUGGUAGUCCACGCCCUAAACGAUGAAUACUCGAUGUUGGCGAUAUACGGUCAGCGUCUAAGCGAAAGCGUUAAGU
rnacentral:rRNA from 1 species